GACGAACGCUGGCGGCGUGCUUAACACAUGCAAGUCGAGCGGAAAGGCCCUUUCGGGGGUACUCGAGCGGCGAACGGGUGAGUAACACGUGAGUAAUCUGCCCUGGACUCUGGGAUAGCCACCGGAAACGGUGAUUAAUACCGGAUAUGACACCUUGCUGCAUGGUGGGGUGUGGAAAGUUUCUUCGGUCCAGGAUGUGCUCGCGGCCUAUCAGCUUGUUGGUGAGGUAAUGGCUCACCAAGGCUUUGACGGGUAGCCGGCCUGAGAGGGUGACCGGUCACACGGGGACUGAGACACGGCCCAGACGCCUACGGGAGGCAGCAGUGGGGAAUAUUGGACAAUGGGCGGAAGCCUGAUCCAGCAACGCCGCGUGAGGGAUGACGGCCUUCGGGUUGUAAACCUCUUUCAGUACCGACGAAGCGUGAGUGACGGUAGGCACAGAAGAAGGACCGGCCAACUACGUGCCAGCAGCCGCCGUAACAC
rnacentral:rRNA from 1 species